CUGCUACCUAGCUUUACACUGUUUAUAUCCAACAUUUGACCGUCCAUCUUAUUUUAAAAAAAUUAUUAUUAACAUUUUUAUUGUUAUUAGAUGAUAAAAUAUGAAUAGUACUUUAUGUGUGACCAUUUUAUUUUUAUUUUUUUAUAAAUAUUUUAAAUAAGAAAGACGGUCAAACGUUGGACAACAAAACCCGUCGAUGGAGGUAGU
rfam:Oryza glaberrima chromosome 3 Oglab03_0068_1, whole genome shotgun sequence.